rnacentral:tRNA from 1 species
GGUCCUAUAGCUCAAUUGGAUAGAGCAACAGCCUUCUAAGCUGUAGGUUCAAGGUUCAAGUCCUUGUGGGAUCA